AUUUACAUCACUCCUCUGAUGUAUAGCUUCAUUCAGCAUUCAGAGAAAAAUGGACGUUGUGGGCUUUCAUGCGUAGAACUUUCAAUUAUUCAUGCAUUUUGCAUAACACGCACUUUACUGUCAUUGGCUGAACUUGACACUUUUUUGAUUGGUGUUUUUGUGCAGGCUUUCACAGUGAAUGACAAUACGCUAGCAGGCUGACUUGCUCAUCUGUGUGUAUUGCUAUUAUGAGGCAGUCUGUAAUAUACAUACAUUAUAUGCUACAUUGCUUUGAAUGCAGACUAAUAUUUGCCUGACUUGCCCUAAGAAUCGGCAGACAGCGUCGGAAUUGCAAUGUGCCUGAAUAGCGACGCUUUACACUUCAAGGGAAUCACAUUAUGAGAAGAGCCAGUGUCCUCAGGUGCAGCUCCUUCAGUGAUGUUGGCUUUGUGAAGUUUUCUGAGAUCAGUUUUUGUGGAAACAUCGUCUUCAGGGUGAAUAUUGAAGGAAUUGAUCCCGAGUGAGAGUCCAUGCGGCUUCUUGAAGAUCCCACAGCACAAGAUUCCUUUGCAAGGAGUUCCAGGAUCUCACUUUACUCACAUUCCGAGGAGGAAGAGUCCUACAGAUGGGCUCCACGCAGCUCUGACUGCUUAGUUGCACCGCCUCCCUGCUGUGCAACAUGAUGUUACCUGCGACUGGCUCUCCUAGGACUUUGGGGGGUUGUCGGAUGUGUCAGCCCCCGCUGAGCCGACAGGUGCAGGUGUGUUCCAUCUUGGCGAUAAUGACGAGGGUGGGGAUUUUGACAGCUGGACCCUCGGACAUCUUCCAGACCGGCAUAUCGGCACACCUGUGGAGUCCGAAAGCACUCUGGAAAAAUAUACAAAUCUGCUGUGGAUUAGGUGAUACAUCGGAUGAAAGCGCACCUAACCAAGCAUCUGUCCCGCGAAGAAUGUGCGAAAGAAAGAAGAUAUGUCAUUAUUUAUUUGGAUCAGUCACAGCGGUGUUGGUGGAAUGGGACUCUAUCUGAAAUUACUGAUACACAAACGCCCUUUCACAUCUCCUGAAAUGUUCUGGAUUAACCUGAUUCACAGUUUCUGGCACGUUUCCCUAUAUUAACCUGAUUGGACCGCUGUUUUGUAUAACAGCUCUUGAGAGGUUAGA